GAAGCUUAGAAGAUACUUCAGCACUGGGAGGAUUUUUUAAAGGAAAUGUGUUUUGUAUUUCUUGUACCAGAGAAUGGUGAUGUUGAUUGAGUUUUUUCCAUGUAAAAAAUGUACUUGUUUGCCAAAUGUUCCUAGAUUGCUCUUAACCUGUUAAUACAAGUAAAACUGUAGUGGGGAUGGAGUCUGGCCUAAGUACAGAAUGAGGGAUUUAAUUAGAAAAGUUAUUUUCUUUUGUUCUGUAUCAAACUGCAGAACAGCUAUAUACUUGGUAUUUUGUACGUGAAUAACGUUUUAGCUUUUGUGCCCUUUUGAGCUUGAAGGGUUAUCCUCAAAGGGGAAAACUAUGAAGGGGAAGAAGACAAACCUAAGAUACCAUAAAGUAAAGGUUGACAUUACAUAUUUUCAUUCACAAUGCCCAUUAAAAAAAAAAAAUAGGCUGGUCUCAAACUCCUGACCUCAGAUGAUCUACCCGCCUUGGCCUCCCGAAGUGCUUGAAUUACAGGCGUGAGCCCCCGCGCCGGUCCGAAGCAAAGCUAAAUGUAAUUUUAUGUACUGUUUUAACAGUAUAAACCUAUGGGAUAAAGGCCCCCAAUCAUCAGAAGGACUACUGAAAAGAAAAGAAAGCAAACGUAGAUGUCAAAUUGUCUAAACAUUCUUAAGUACCACUGAUUUUUUUUUUCU
rnacentral:lncRNA from 1 species